rnacentral:rRNA from 1 species
GACAGAGGGUGCAAACGUUGUUCGGAAUUACUGGGCGUAAAGCGCGUGUAGGUGGCGAGGCAAGUCGGGUGUGAAAGCCCUGGGCUCAACCCAGGAAGUGCACUCGAUACUGCCUAGCUAGAGUCCCGGAGAGGUUGGUGGAACUCUCGGUGUAGAGGUGAAAUCGUAGAUAUCGAGAAGAACACCGGUGGCGAAGGCGGCCAACUGGACGGUGACUGACACUGAGACGCGAAAGCGUGGGGA